UACGCAGGGUGCAAGCGUUGUCCGGAAUUAUUGGGCGUAAAGAGCUCGUAGGCGGUCUGUCGCGUCUGCUGUGAAAACUCGGGGCUUAACCCCGGGCCUGCAGUGGGUACGGGCAGACUAGAGUGCGGUAGGGGAGAUUGGAAUUCCUGGUGUAGCGGUGGAAUGCGCAGAUAUCAGGAGGAACACCGAUGGCGAAGGCAGAUCUCUGGGCCGUAACUGACGCUGAGGAGCGAAAGCAUGGGGAGCGAACAGG
rnacentral:rRNA from 1 species